rnacentral:tRNA from 1 species
AUUAUUUUAGUAAAAGUUAUUAUUAUAUCGUCUUGAUAAGGCGGGGUUCGUUAGAAAUAAUA